CUAAUCACAACUGAGCUGUGUCUAAAGGAUGGAUCUGAAGGAGGAACAGGUCAAGGCUGGGAACACACAGAAAGAGCAGCAUGAGGGACUCUUUACAAAGCUUUGUUGUCACUUGUGAGACACUGAGAAGCCCUGGCAGAGAUUUGGUGCAGCAAGGAGGGAAGGGGAGAAACAAGGCUGGUGAUUAAGGGACAUCUCUGCUCUCCAGUGCUUUGGCUUCUUCUCCUCAGAAUGUAGGAGACAGCAGGGUUCCUGCUGGAGCAGAGAAGCUUUGAAUCCCAGCUGGAGUUGAGUGAGACCCGACCAGCAGGAGCUGCAUGGCUGAAGUGCUGUAUCUGCCUCUCAUGGCCACGUUGGUUUCUUUCCCCCAAGGCUCCCUCUGCCCAGUGUCAGGGCUGCUCUCAUGCUGUCAGCACAGAGGGAGCUGCAGGAUCUUUGCCAAGUAGUGUCCCAAGCCCAGGCAGGCUGAGCACCGGUGGGAUGGG